GUCUUUUUGGUUAUUUAAUAUAAAGUCUAACCUGCCCACUGAAUGUAUUUUAAAGGGCCGCAGUAUUUUGACUGUGCAAAGGUAGCAUAAUCAUUAGUCUUUUAAUUGAAGGCUGGUAUGAAUGGUUGGAUGAGGUACAAGCUGUGUCAUAAAAAUUAACUUUUGAAUUUACCUUUUUAGUUAAAAGGCUAAAAUAUUAUUAAAAGACGAGAAGACCCUAUAGAGCUUUAUAUAAUUUAUAUUUAAAUUAUUAAGAUUUUUUAAAUUUAAUUAUUUUAUUAUAUUUUGUUGGGGUGACAAUAAAAUUUAUAAAACUUUUAUUUUUAUUGAACAUUAAUUUAUGAUUGUAUGAUCCAGUUUUAUUGAUUAUAAAUUUAAGUUACCUUAGGGAUAACAGCGUAAUUUUUUUUGAGAGUUCUUAUCGACAAAAAAGAUUGCGACCUCGAUGUUGGAUUAAGAGUAAUUUUGGGUGUAGAAGUUCAAAGUUUAAGUCUGUUCGACUUUUAAAUUCUUACAU
rnacentral:rRNA from 1 species